rnacentral:lncRNA from 1 species
AGGAGGGAGAGGGAGAGAAAAGUCCCUCACAGUUGUUUUUCCUCAGUUGAUCCCUAUUAAAAGAAACUCUUCAUUGUGGUGUACUCAAGGAAAUACAGCUCAGACGAAAGAGUCACAUGAAUGUUAACAAAUAUGGCUAUUUGUGUGGCUUACGCGCUGCGCCGAGCUUAGUGAUGUUGUGUGUGACACUCAGAGAAUGAAGGAAGCAAUCAUUAGCAUCCCAGCAACCUGCUUAGCCGCCCGCUUUCAUGCUCCCCCUUUUGAUCUGACACUUUUUGCUUCAGUUUUGCUGGGAUUACUGCUGAAGAUGCUAAUAAAGUAUCACACACAUUGUAAGAAGAGCGAUAAGAAAGUCUGCUUGGGCAAAACUUUGGAGUUUCAAGCCAAGUGGGCUUUUGUACUUGUUGCUGGUUUCCCAGUGCAGACCUGGAAAUUAGGGGCGGUUUGCUUAAUUCCUUUUUUUCCUCUCCCCAGAAAAACUCAGGACGGAUGCUGCACGUUCCACGUGCGUCUCCUGCAGGGAUUUAGAGAAGUCUCCAUGAAGCCGAUCACAUCCCAGUUGUUGGAAAUACACCUUCUGCUUAUGUACACCGAAGCAAGGAACCCAUCUGUCUCUCAGCAUCUUUUUUUUUUUUUUUUUUUUUUUUUUUUGUCAUGCUGCUGCCCCCAAAGCACCAGCUGCUGUACCAGUGAGGAGUCACAAGGAAUUAAAACUCAGGAGCAUCUUGUGGUGUUGGUACAUUAUCGGUUUUGGUGGUUAUUUUUGGCUGUUAGUUCCUGCUGUCCUAGGCUCUAUACAAAUGCGUCUUGGCAGGCUCUCCCCUUCCUAAAGAGCUUACAGCCUGGACAAGAACUGGAGGCAUUAAUAGCUUUUGUUUGACUGCUGACAUAUGUUCUGCAUGCUGGCCAAAGUCAGCUGCAUCUCCGUCAUCCUCACCCCGUGCCUCAUCUGGAGGCAGCUGCAAUACCCCAAUGCGCGAUCCCUUCUCUGAAGUGGAUGUGCAAAUGACCACCUUGGUAAUUAUUAAAACACUACCUUCCUCCCUACAAAGUGCUGAGGCUGGUGGGGAAAGCAGGACCAGGACCUCCAUAUGGUGUAUCCCCCACCAGGGUAGUUUUCUGCCAUAUUUUUUUCCCCUGCCAUGUCCUGCAGCAGUGAGUUCCACCAGUGAAGAGCUGACAGGGCAAAAAAUAUUCUCAUUUUCCAGAGGCAAAGAACUGAGGUCUCUCUCUCAUUUCCCUGACAUUUUUUAUCCUCAAUACCUUUGGCACAGCCUUCCCUCUCUCCAAGGUAAGCCUCCCCAAUCCCUCCAUUCUCACUUCUGAUUACUGCCGUGAAUAACAUCUAAUAUUCUUAUCACCCGGCUCCAACCCCCCUAAUGCUGUUGUAGGCUUUUCAAGAGGAAAACCACUACUGCAAACAUUACUGCAGACGAAACUGCAUCUCUGAUGUAUAUAAAGGCAUUAGCCCAUCCUCCCGCCUGGGCUGCCGUGCAUCUUCUGUGCCAUUGCACUGCUGCUGCACAGGGAGCAGAGGUCUCUGCUGAGCUGUCUGCAGUCUCAUUGGAGUUUCUUGCUUCCCCUAAUUUAAAUUAAAACCUGGGAGCGGACAAUUUCAGUGUCUGCUUCGGGUGCAAUGGGAGCUGUUGGAGACCUGGCUCACUGCAGGUGCCUGAAGAAUGCAAGAGGAGGCUGGGCUGGAGCAAAGCCCAGGCUGCACCUCCACCCCAGCUCUAGUACCCGUAUGGCACAUCACGAAGCACUGGCCAUGCCACAUGGACUGCAGUGCACCGACCUUCACAGCUCCUCUGAGAAGAUAAAGCCACCUCAAGGGUCCUCAAGAGGAAAGACAAGCCAGGUCAAUAGCAACUUCAUGGUGGAACCAGCAGAAGAGAUGGGCUGAUGUUCCCACAUGGGGGGAUGUGGGGGAUGAGGAGGCUCAGUUCCCACCUGGUACUUUUCCAAGCCCAACACCCAGAAGCAUACGGUGCAAACACUCCAGCAGCCAGAACAUAGGACUCAACUGGAUGGAGCCUUUGGACCAGUGUACUGCUCUAGACUUAGGGAUAUCAUGUGCCAAAAUGAAACGAGCUGAGUUUUUGGGUGGCAUCAUCGUUAUGGAUGGCCCUGGCCUAUGACCAGUCCUUUGAUAAGGCAUCUGGUGUUGGGCUGUUGUCCUGCUGCUGAACACCCUUCCCAGGGCUGCACUGGUACCUCUGCAAGACCAAGGUGCAAGGCAAGUAAAGAACAAAUAAAGCCACAUUAAUCCCAGCUCCA